rnacentral:lncRNA from 1 species
AUCACGUCAGAGUCACCUUCUAUUAUAAAGACACAGUGAAUCAGAGUUCUUGUUGCUCCGAAUUCUCAAGAACAUAUGGUGUCAUCAGUGUUUCAGAUUUUGGUCAUUGUAAUAGGCAUUAUUGGCAAGUGGAAUGAGAACAAGAAGAGAUCCAAGGUUGAAUUCUGCAGUUUUUGGUUUCAUUCCAACUUGAAUUUAUAUAGAAUAUUUUCGAUCUGUGGUUGGUUGAAUCCACAGAUGCAAAACCCACAGACAUGAGGGCUGAUUGUAUGUGCAAACUGGCCACAAAAGUCCUGGCUUUCUUCAAAGCUGCGUCCUAACGAGGGCAGAGGAACUGAAGUUCAAAUUCUCAGUUGCUGAAACACAAAUGAAAGCCCUAUUCUAAGAGUUUGCCAAUGCAAUCUAAGAUAUUGGUAUGACUUGGUUGCCCA